rnacentral:rRNA from 1 species
GACGAACGCUGGCGGCGUGCCUAAUACAUGCAAGUCGAACGCACUCUCGUUUAGAUUGAAGGAGCUUGCUCCUGAUUGAUAAACAUUUGAGUGAGUGGCGGACGGGUGAGUAACACGUGGGUAACCUGCCCUAAAGUGGGGGAUAACAUUUGGAAACAGAUGCUAAUACCGCAUAAAACCUAAACACCGCAUGGUGUAGGGUUGAAAGAUGGUUUCGGCUAUCACUUUAGGAUGGACCCGCGGUGCAUUAGUUAGUUGGUGAGGUAAAGGCUCACCAAGACCGUGAUGCAUAGCCGACCUGAGAGGGUAAUCGGCCACACUGGAACUGAGACACGGCCCAGACUCCUACGGGAGGCAGCAGUAGGGAAUCUUCCACAAUGGACGAAAGUACUGAUGGAGCAACGCCGCGUGAGUGAAGAAGGUUUUCGGAUCGUAAAACUCUGUUGCUGGAGAAGAAUGUAUCUGAUAGUAACUGAUCAGGUAGUGACGGUAUCCAACCAGAAA